CAGCCGCCACGGGAAUACGUAGGGUGCGAGCGUUAAUCGGAAUUACUGGGCGUAAAGCGUGCGCAGGCGGUUAUAUAAGACAGAUGUGAAAUCCCCGGGCUCAACCUGGGACCUGCAUUUGUGACUGUAUAGCUAGAGUACGGUAGAGGGGGAUGGAAUUCCGCGUGUAGCAGUGAAAUGCGUAGAUAUGCGGAGGAACACCGAUGGCGAAGGCAAUCCCCUGGACCUGUACUGACGCUCAUGCACGAAAGCGUGGGGAGCAAACAGGAUUAGAUACCCGGGUAGUCCCUGUCUCUUAUAC
rnacentral:rRNA from 1 species